CAGCCGCCGCGGUAAUACGGAGGGUGCAAGCGUUAUCCGGAUUUAUUGGGUUUAAAGGGUCCGUAGGCGGAUCUGUAAGUCAGUGGUGAAAUCUCACAGCUUAACUGUGAAACUGCCAUUGAUACUGCAGGUCUUGAGUAAAUUUGAAGUGGCUGGAAUAAGUAGUGUAGCGGUGAAAUGCAUAGAUAUUACUUAGAACACCAAUUGCGAAGGCAGGUCACUAAGAUUUAACUGACGCUGAUGGACGAAAGCGUGGGGAGCGAACAGGAUUAGAUACCCCGGUAGUCCCUGUCUCUUAUAA
rnacentral:rRNA from 1 species